ensembl:rRNA 5S_rRNA 5S ribosomal RNA
AUCUAUGGCCAUACCACCCUAAACACGCCCAAUCUCGUCUGAUCUUAGAAGCUAAGCAGGGUCGGGCCUGGUUAGUACUUGGAUGGGAGAAAGAGAGGCAGAGAGAGACU